GACGAACGCUGGCGGCGUGCUUAACACAUGCAAGUCGAACGAAGAGCGAUGGAAGCUUGCUUCUAUCAAUCUUAGUGGCGAACGGGUGAGUAACGCGUAAUCAACCUGCCCUUCAGAGGGGGACAACAGUUGGAAACGACUGCUAAUACCGCAUACGAUCUAAUCUCGGCAUCGAGGAUAGAUGAAAGGUGGCCUCUACAUGUAAGCUAUCACUGAAGGAGGGGAUUGCGUCUGAUUAGCUAGUUGGAGGGGUAACGGCCCACCAAGGCGAUGAUGAGUAGCCGGUCUGAGAGGAUGAACGGCCACAUUGGGACUGAGACACGGCCCAGACUCCUACGGGAGGCAGCAGUGGGGAAUCUUCCGCAAUGGACGAAAGUCUGACGGAGCAACGCCGCGUGAGUGAUGACGGCCUUCGGGUUGUAAAGCUCUGUUAAUCGGGACGAAAGGCCUUCUUGCGAAUAGUGAGAAGGAUUGACGGUACCGGAAUAGAAAGCCACGGCUAACUACGUG
rnacentral:rRNA from 1 species